CCGCACGGGCUUGGACAGCGCGUACAGGUGCCGGAACUCCUCGUCAAACAGCUCCACAACCUGGCCCGUGAACUUGGAGAGGAGGUUGCGGUGAACCUGGCCGCACAGCCACGUGAAGCUGGAAGAAGAGACAAGCUGCCUCUAAAACCUUCAAGAAACCUUGCGACGUUAUGCAACCUCCUGAGGGGAGUGGUGAUCUAGAUCCACUGCACGGAUAAAUGUCAGAUACAAUACCCAAGGUAUGGGUGUAUGUUCCAUGGAAAGGAGUUUAGACCCCUCUUUUGGGGACCUCUCUUCCAUGCACAAUGCUUAAAUUCAGGUCUUGCCACGUCUUAUCUGCAUACACAUAAAUUGUACCUUGUACCCUGCAGCAUGCUAUUCCACUUGGUAACUCUCAGCCACUCCAAGUGUCAUCAUAAAGACUAGGAAAAAAGAAACAUCCUUUGUUUUCAUUUUUCCAUGAUCUUUCUGCAUUGGUCAAGAGAAACACUUAAAAACCCAACCUUCCUGUCACGUCCCAUACCACAAAGGAAGCUGCCACACCUGACAAAUGCUUGUUUUCCUCACUACAGAGAAAAUGAAAUUACAAACAUUUCCUACAGCAUUUCCAAAAAUAAAUGUAAUACUUUGGAAUAAAGUACGGGAGAAACACCACAAUAGUUUUAAUCCUGGUAGUUCAGAGACACACCUUAGGAUAACCCACAGCUUUUAAAUUAUUUUUCUUUUAUGUACUUCCCUAAUCCACUCAGCAAACAUAAAUUUGUGCUUUUAUAAAACCACAAGCCAGCUUGAUUGUGUUGUGCAGGCUGCCGUGUCUGAGCAGCAGCAGCAGCACCAAUAAAAUGAGCAUAGUUGAGAGAAUGAAAUGUAAUUACUCCCUGAACUGACCAGGGCUUGAGCUGUGCAGCAGAGGAUACGAAGCAGUGGUGGAUGUGAACCUGAGAUUAUUCUGUGUUGGCAAAACUCUGCCAUGGUUAUUCCUGCAUGACUUUAUUAGCUACGGUGGAUUUGCACAAGGGCUGCUGAGAGCCAGAUUUGGCUGUAGGUGUGUGCACUUAAAAUCUUGUCAUGUUUUGAUAAAACUCCUCAGUGGCACUGACAGCCUGAGCUGAUACUGAGGCAGUAAGACAAUUUACAUCUGCUUGUCCAGAGCAUUCCAAAGGAGGGUUGGGUUUGAGGUAUACAGUGAUUUUAUACUGUUGCUUCAGGAGCAGGGGGAGGAGUGAAGAAAUCAGUAGUUCAAUGCCCCUGGGCACCCAUGCAAUUUAUACUGUACAUUUUAUAACUGGACAUGAAGACACAUAGUAAGUUACUAAAACUCAGGUACUUCUCAUCCACUGUGCUCAAAUCAUUCUAAAUAUGGACAAAGCCUUGGGAGCCAAGGUAAAGAGCAAGCUAAGUCCCUGCUGGGUGUGUAACAUCUGCUGUACCAGCUCAACAUUGCCUUUAUUCACUGAGCAGUACCCUGUAAACCUUUGCAUGUCCUUACCUAACUGUUAAAGAGACAAUAGGUCAGGAAUAAAUUUAAAAUGCACACAAUUUUUCUAGGAUAUCUAUAUUGAAGGUUACAAACUCUCAUGAAAGGGCUGAGGUCUAAAGUAUCAUGUUUAUACUUUAUGUGCUAGAGAUACACCUAGUUUAUAAAAGAAAAUUUAGACAGAAAUAAAAAUCAAUGAUACUUGUAAAUGGCUGUUAAAAGCCUAACAGAAUCAGAGGAAAAAACCUGUUCUGACCAAUUUUGAUAAUUUACUCCCACAUGUAUCUUCCUGGAAUACCUGACAGACAAAUACUAGUUUGUGGGUCAUUGAUUUUACCUGUAACCCUUGUAAACAGAGAAAGAUCAAAUGAAUAGCCCAGAGAUUCUCCAAGAACUGAUGGCAAAUGGGUCAGCUCAAAGUUACAAGGUAAGAUCUUUGUGAUUAUAGACAAACACUUGUGGACUUGUUGUGUAGUGAGUCACAGCAAUUUACAGCCUGUGUACUUUGCUGGAGAACAAAACAGAACUUGGCAUAAAAGACUUAACAGGUUUUCAUUGCCUUAAUUCUAAGAGAAAAUGCAUUGUUUUGGUUUUAGGUUUUAUUUGCUUCUUAGUUUACAAUUCUGAGUGCUCUUUUGGGACAGGUUCAGAGAAGUCUGUUAUUGUCACCACCUGCCCAGAGGGAUCACUUUUCUCCCAGUUUUUUUUGGGUGAGGCCCAUCAGAAGAAGAGAAAGCACAAAGAAAUGAUGCCUGGCCUGGGGUCAACACAGACAGAUACUGCUCAGCCAUCUUUCCAGGGCUUUGUCCUAUGUCCUGUUACAGACCCUCUCAUUUAUGAUGUUCUCAAUCAAAUCCCACCUCUCCUAUUCAGCACAGGACUUGUUUUAUACUGGGUGUCCUCUGCACUGCUGGAGCUGCAGUUCACUAGGGAUGUUCUCAUCCCUGUGUUUGCAGUGCUGCAGUAACGUGCAGCACAACACCCAUGGAAUCUGAAACGCAAGGAAGGACGGACCGGGCUCAGGUUUGGGUCACCCCAGAUGUUCGUGUUGCCUGCUGGUGGAUAACCUGUGUGGGACAAACCUGCCCCACCUGAAGUGAUGCUCCUGGCAAAGCAUGUCCCUGUCAGCUGUUAGAUGCUGACUCUGAAGAGGCCAGUGGCUUUCAGACUGGCAGCCAGGGAGAUACUCAGUUGCCCCUUGGGAUCAAGGUCUGUGCUUUCUGCUGUUUUCAUUUUGCCUUCUUUAGGAACACUGAGCUCAUGCACUGUCUAAUUUCAAAGUCAUUUAAGAAAUGGAAUAACAGUUACCAUAGGAUGAGGUAGAGUGACACAGAGACAGCAAAAAGAAAUACUGCAUUCCAACCCCUCACCAUAGACACUGGCAAUAAAAAUUGAGAGUAUGUCCUGAAGGGCUAUUUUAUUUCCUCAGCCUGUUCCCCCCACCACUAUUACAACUAUCAUGCAGAGCUCAGCACUUUGGUGAAAUUUGGUGUUGUAUUUUAAAAUCUUUGUAUCAGUUUUAAGAUCUACUCCAAUGUGAUUUCCAACAAAUGCAUUGCAGAAGAUUUUGAGUCUGUUUCACUUAACAUCAUUCUUGUUUAGACCUGAAGAGGUUGGUGGAUAAGAUUUAGGCAUAACAAAAAUCUUUCAGGUUAAUCAAGUGAGAGCUAGCAAGAAAUGCCACAUAAACUGGUAGCCAGCUAUAACCCAUGUGAAUUGCAAACCGGUGCUGAACACACAGAAGUUAAAUAGUUUUUCAUAGUUUUAAAUACAUUUGUUCCUCACCACCCUCUCUGUUUGUGAGCUAGAUAUGGAAUUACAUAGUUUGGCAAGGUACUUGAGAUUAGAAGGUAUUCGACAGCAGUAGAGAAAGACAGAAGUGACUGCACAGAACUUCAGGUGUUUUUAGUGGUUUUAGUAUUGAAAGAGAAGCCAAAAGGAAGCUUCUUGGUCAAAGAAAAUAGAUCUUGUUCUGUCCUUCUCCCACACAUCCUUCACUUCCACUCUAUACAAGUCUUUUGUUGGACUUUAACACAUCUUUGACCAGGGAUUAAAAAACACCCAAAAUAACAAGAAAACAAUAAAAAAAGUCAAUUAAAAAAACCCCCAACCCUGAGUGUCCACUGAGUUGUCUGGUGGUUCAUGUGGAAAUGGAAUGAAAAGUGGGUGCCUGUGUUAGUGUACAUCUGAGCUCCAGCAGCCCAUCCCCAGAAAUUCACUUUUUCCUUCAUUACUGUCGUUCUGUAAACUUCCUGGUGGCACAGUUUUAUCAGACCAGAGGCAUUUAAGCUUCCAAAUCGUAAACUGGGAUUAAGAAAAAUAAUCGCAUCCUUUAAAUUAAAUAAUCACCUCUUGUAUAUUUGUACCUGGAUUUCUAGGAUACACUUGGUCAUUUGUGAAACAUAUCUAUGUAGCCAUGGUGCUCAGAAACUUCAUUUAUUUGAUGCAAGCUCAGUCUCCUGAAAUUCCCUGACCAGAGGAUCUAGGAUCUUACUUAAAAAUCCAGUUGUUGAGAUGCUAUAUCCACUACCUGAAAUAAUUAUAGCAGCACAAACAAAACAAACAAACAAAGAAAGAAAAUUUUUAAAAAGGGAAAAAACAAAGGUACAGCAGUUAUGUAGAUAUAUACUGCUUACGUGUUAAUGAAACACAUGGAAAAACAGUAAGUCUCUGAAGUAUUUCUGUUUUACCUUAAAUCACUAAAUUUGUCAUAUGAAGAACAAAUCCUCAGAUAAGCUGAGUGACAUAUGCUAAUUAAGGGAUCCCGAGGGAGACAGAAAUGUAUCAUGUCUCAUGAUCACAACACUUGAGAACCCUAACAAUGAGGAAAGCAUAAUAUUAAGCUGUACACUUUUCUAGCUUUGCCCCAGGGCUGCACUGGCAAAGUUGUUUACAUUAGUUUCUGAACAUUUAAAUUAAAACCCAUGCUCCAUUAAGAACUAAGAGCAGCUUUAAAGCAAGUUAAGUAGAUUUUGGAAAAAUGGCACAUAUUUGAAAACAUGAGGUGCUUUUUGUUAAACAAAAGCUUCUUACCUUACAAAGAUUUCCAUGUCAAUUUUUUUGGGAAGAAGUAUUAAAAAUCAUAGAAGAGUACCUAGAGAUGAAGUGCAAUGGCUUAUCUCACCUGUAAGAUCCUGAGAGCACAUAUCUCCAGUCAGAGAUAAGAAAUUUUUCUUGAAUUUUUCCUGAAAAUUUCCUGCCUGACUUGGCACAGUAAACUUCUCCAGUAACACUGCGGACUGAAAUAUUCUGUAAAUAAAAAUAAAACUGAGUGAAUGACAUGUCUUUUUAAUAAAAUAUCAGAAGAGGGAGGGCCCUCUUCCCCCACUGCCUUUAACUCUUCACUGCCCCAAAGUCAAAUUUCUUUAUGGACUCUCUGAUGUGACAUUUGAAGGUUUGUGUCCUGAAGAAACCUAGCCAAGGUUUCUAACUUUACGACUUGGCAGGGGUUACUUGUUUCUCUGGGGAUAUAAACCUGCAUGGAAGCUCAUGCAGAUGGAGCUGAGCUGUGUGACAGUAACUGACCCUACCCCAGCCAGAAGGAGCUGUGUGAGGAUGUGUCCAUAGCUGGGAGCAGCCUGUUGCCUUCCACUGACACCCCAGGCACAAUCUGCUGCAGCUGUAUACUCCUUUGAUUUACACUGCAUGUGCCAUGACACAGCAGGAUAAAACCUCUGCUCCUCCAAUCCAUCUGGGCCUGCAAGGACACACGUGCAAGGACACACUCUCCUUCAGAGUGAGGGUUUACAGGCAUGCAAACACUUACGAACGUGCAUUAUUAAUUUCAGCUUCUUUAUAUAUUUGGGAUGGAAUUCAGCUGUUGAAAACCAGGUGUCUGGUGUAUGUGUAAGAUGCCCUCAGGUCUCCUGUGUGCCCACAGCUGCCAUUCCAGAGGUCUGUGGCCUCUGCAGUAUCACCCAUCCCCAGGGAGAUGCCAUAGGAGCUCUACAGCAUCUCAAGCAACAACUGAAAUAAUCCCUAGGAGGGGUUCUUUUAAAGCCAGCUCCUUCUGACAGAGAUGAAGGCAGAUUAAAUUAACAGCCACCUAAAUUUGAGAGCUUUCAACAUAUUUUAUCAGAAAUGUGUUAAAAAUUUAAAAGCGCUUUAACACAUUUUAUCAGAAACCUCCCAGUGCAACCAAGCUAUGGCUAUGCAAAAGAGUUUUGUGCACCUUGUCCCUGUGGCUGCCAGACCACAGCUGCUGCAGAGCUAUUAAACAGAAGCAACUCCAAUGCCUAUGUUAGAUAACUCUACUAGGGAAAUCUAAGUCCUGUUUUAAGACUUCAGGGCCAAGAUUACUUUCAUCUGGGGACCUAAUGGAAAUGCCUUACAUUUCUAUAAUAUCCAUGGGAAAAUGUAGGCAUCUUCAAAGAGGAAUUGGGUGUGCUAACACUACCCCAGGAAAUCUCCUGCACCCUUUUAAUUAGAAGGUGGAUUGACCCUAGCAUAACCAUGCUUCUAGCUCAGAGUGCCUGCAGUUAGGCAGACAGCUCUCAGCCUAAGAGCUUCCCAGAGCCACAGUACCUUGAAGAGAUCCUCAGAAAUCUGCAGCUUGUCGCACAUCUCCGAGAAGAGAUCUACACUGCUGUGAUCGAGCAGCAGGUAGACAAAGACCAUGCGCUUGUUAGCUGCCUCCAGGAGGUCACAGAGAAUCUCAGUGUCUGUGAACACAUCCAUCACAAUGGCUAACACCUUCAGAAAAAGAGCAGAGGCAUUAGCAGAGUCAAUUUACAUCACUUAAGGUUGCUAUGAGGACACUGUGAUGUAGUUCAUUUGUUCAAAAAACAUUCCAACAGACAAAAGUAUUUAGUUACAUGUGGAUAUUUUUUCUGGUUUUCUCCCUAUAAGUGCCUGAUUAAUUAAAUUGAUUAAACAUAUUGCUUCAUUGUUUUAUUCCUCAUAUAAAGCCAAUAUAAUACACGACAUAUGACAAGAUGACACAUGAAUUUGUAGGUGAGAUUUCAGCUCUAGGAAAUAUAUUGAAAUACUUAUCAGAGAAUGAUAAGGAUGUGGCUAAAUAAAAGAUUAUAGUCCUUUCCACAAGGCUCACUAGGUGUCAUAAGCCAUGCACCUUUUUUUCAGCAAAAAUCCCUGGAUGAUGCUUUCUCUUUUAUGAUUUACACCUGGACAGCCCUGGCUUUAAAAAGCUUCACCCUGUUGUUGUUGGUGGGGUGAUAGACUCCAACAGCUCCAUACUUUUUAAAACACUUAUUUUUAAACUAACUGUUAGAAUUUGAUCACACAUCCAUGCUCCCCAGUUCACAACUGGCAGAAUACUGUAAAAGUCUCAGGACUGGGCAUAAAAGCCCUGACAACUAUUUAAAUGCACAGCCUGCAGCCAGUGUGGAUCAAGGGAACUGUAAAUGUGAUAUAAAACCAGUUCCAUACUAGAAAGUGCUGGUCUUGUCUGAUGUCUGCUAUUGCCCAUGGAAAGGGUCAAUUCAGCCCAGCUAUUACCUGACUUACCUUCAGGAGGUGGUUGUUUCUCCACUGACUGGAGAGGGAACCUUUGAUAACUGUGCUCAUGGGAUAUCACCUUCAAUCAAAACAAACUUUACAGCGUCUCUGUAGAUCUCUCUUACAAACUGCUUCCAACUUGCUCUGAAUCUUGCUCCAAAGCCUAUGCCCACACCUAACAGCAAGCUUAUUCCCCUUGCCACCAUGAGGAUCUCCUACAAGACCAGGCACAUCCUGUGCAGCCAUUGUCCUCUCCACAAAGCCAAACUAUUUGUGGAGCAGUGAGGAUCCCACAACUUCCUCCUGCUGCCAAAGCCUGGUGCUUCAGAAAGAGCUUUGCCAUGGCUAGGUAAGCACAAUUAUGUCCAGUAUCUCACAUCCACACUUCCUGGUAAUGCCCCAGCUCCAGACUAUUCUCUCUGGUACACCUCUUUACCACUUGUUCCCAAUUUGUAUUUCUGUACCUGACUUUCCUCUCUUACUUGCAGUACUCUUCAUUUCUUAUGCCCGAAUUUCAUUUUGUGAUUUGCACCAAUUCCACAAAUGUGUUAAAACUGUAGCAUCCCUUGGCAAUCCUUUGCAGUUUGAGAUCAUCCAUAAACACAGUAUUUAUUCUGUUUUUUAAUUUUGUAAUGCAUAUAUCAAAUACUAGACUAUCCAGGAUGGACCCUUUCCAGAUGAUAGCUAGCAACUGGUGCCAUUGGAAAACUGUGUUUACAAAAAGCAGUUCACAAAUUUACACUGUUAGUGUCGCUUCAGCACACUCUCGUAAUGUAAAUUAGAUUAUUAAGAAGGUCAUGUGAACCAUGGGUUUAUAUUACAUUUCCCAAUUUUUUUGCCUGCAGGUUUUCUCUUGAGACAGAAAAUUGGUCUGCAUUGAUAUUUUACCUGAUACUAUUUUAUUAUUCCAGAGACAUUUCUUCUGUUUCUACAUCUUUCUGAUGCCUCCAACUUAAAAGGACUGAUGUAUAAUUCCGCUGGCGUGGUAAGCACUUGUAGGCUUUGAGAGAGCAGUUGCCAACGGGGCUCCUUCUCCCCUGCCAUUUACACUCUGUGUUAUCAGGACCAGCACCUGCCCUUGCAGGGGAAUAACAAAGUGGAAGGAAUCCAGAGGGCUGGGAAGUCUUGCUGGGCAGCACUAUUGCAUCCUGGCUUGGCUCCUGACCAUUCCUGGGUGAAACUGCUGCUGCUCUUUUGAAUUUAUAUAAGGGCAAAACUCCUGGAUGAUGGUAAACACAGCCCUGAAGUAUCUUUUUUUUUUUUUUCCCCAGGAAAAUAAGAGAGCUGCUAGAACACACAUGACAUCAGUUUUCUGCCUCACCUCCAGCUGCUCAGUUCUUGGUUUCCCAGAAUGUGGGCAGCCUGGCUUUGGCUUGUGGCUGGCACCUCUGUGGCCUCCACCACCUGUGUGUAGUCAGAGGCAUCUGCACCUUUCCCACAUGCCAAGUUAGGCUGCAGAGUCUCCGCAUAGAGGCCACAUGACAUUUUAACUGAUACAGGCAAGAUAUUAGGGAUGAAAGGUCUAUUUUCUGGAUCAUUUCCUUCCUCUGGGGAUGGCUGCUGACAUACCAGAAAUACUUGCCUUUCUUUGGCUGCUCCUUCACCCACAUCUCCCACAAAUCCUCUCGAACAAUUCCUAGUGGCUGAGAGCUCACUUAGGCUUAAUUCUCAUUAAUGGUGCAGUGGUCUGAACAGAUAAAACCAUCCUGCUGGAGUGGUGCAUGAGAAGGGACAGAGACAAGCUGCCCUUUCUGCAGCACAUUUAAUCCACUGGGUGAACGGGAGGUUACAAGAGAGAAGAGGGAAUGGUUUUUCUUAAAAAUCUUGGUAACUGAGUAAAAAAAAUAAAUUUAAAAAGCCCUGCCUCUGUUCAACAACAAGCUCUUCACAGGCACUUUCUAGGGUAAAGCUACACUGCAAUGCACAGGGCUGCCUUGGAUUAAACACCAUGUUCACCUGACUUUGUAAGAGCAAGAAAGAACCGAGUGCAGAGGGAACAAAAAUUCUCUCCUCAUACCUGAGUGGUCUUGUGGAUGUACCGGCGUAUGAUGUCUCUAAUGUUGCUGUUCUUAUCUGUUUGGAAAUAAACGGUGGCCGUGGAUUUUUCCUUUAAAUAGGGCUUCUCUGCAGUAAUCCAUGUGUGGAGCAGAGCCGGCUCGCUGCUGUCAGAAAUGGUGGGGAAGUAGGUCCCGGAAGGCAGUGACCCGCCGUCGUUCUGCUUCGGCGCGGCUGCCCCUUCGGCACCUGGGGACUCCUGUGCAUAAUAAGACUCCCGGGCGUUAUCCUUGAUGUACUGAGCUUCCACCGAGGAGAGGAAAUCCACCUCACCCUCUUUGCUUAGAGUUUCGAGGUAAGAGUCUGUCCCACCAUCCAAGAAGGCAUCGGUGGCCAAUCUUAUGCUUUCGUUGUGGCUGAAAUCCACUUUUGUCAACUUCAGGGACUGGUUCUUGAUAUCCUCCAGCCUCUUCCUUAUCUUGCCCAUAUGUCUGGGGUGGUUCAUGGCUCUUUGUCGUAGCAGCCGAUCUGCCGAGCAGGCACCAUGCAUAUGCGUGCCAUAGGCAGUGCAAUCGUCCUUGUUUGAGGACUGCAUUCUGGCAUGAAAUCGCCUCGGCUGAACGAAUUAACUAUGAAUAAAAAUAAAGAGAUCUUAUUACCACGGGCAAAUUCACACUCCCUGAAUUUGUCUGAACAAUUAUCUUCAAAACGAACCUGAAGCUUGCUUCUCAGGUGCUGGUGUACUCCGGCAACAAUCUGUUUCCAGAUGGGACACAAAUGCAAAGCUGAUUAGAUUGCUUAUCUGAGAGGCACCCACCUCAGCCCCAGGGCGUACGAAGAAUUCGAGUCAAAUUUACCACAGCCGUCAGAUUCGAUUGUAUUUCCCUUCCUGUCGCAUCCUGUGAAAUAUGAGUGAGGAAAGCACUCAAGCAAAAGCAGGUAGGCUCCCAAGCAUCAUUGCACAAUCUUCAAAACAGCUUGAGGCUUCUCUGUCUUCCCAUAGUAUUCGUUGGGGAGAAAAAACAGCUCUGAUGGUGAACUGGAACAGAGACAGCAGCCAUGUCCAUGGCUUCAAAAACAGCAAAAAGGGUCAUGGGCUCUGUUCUGCACCUACAUGCUGCCAGGCAGGCUUAAAAAUAGAUGUGAACUUCGUCACUGUGCCCCGUCCGGUGUAUGUUGCUAUUACCAUAGACGAUUCACUCACUUAUUUCUUUAAAGCUUUGUGACUACGCCAUCCUAUUAAAAGAAAAAUACCCCUUCCCAAACAUCCUGAAUAUUACGUGGAGGGAGGGUUGUGAGCUAGCCUCAAAGCAUCAGAAAUACAAACACUCAUCACA